rnacentral:rRNA from 1 species
UACGUAGGUGGCAAGCGUUGUCCGGAUUUACUGGGCGUAAAGAGCGCGCAGGCGGUCGGAUUAGUCGCGUGUGAAAGCCCCCGGCUCAACUGGGGAGGGUCACGCGAUACUGUUCGACUCGAAGGCAGGAGAGGGAAGUGGAAUUCCCGGUGUAGUGGUGAAAUGCGUAGAUAUCGGGAAGAACACCCGUGGCGAAGGCGGUUCUCUGGGACGGUACUGACGCUGAGACGCGAAAGCGUGGGGAGCGAACAGG